UACGUAGGGGGCAAGCGUUGUCCGGAUUUAUUGGGCGUAAAGAGCGUGUAGGCGGCCUGAAAGGUCAGCUGUGAAAACUCGAGGCUCAACCUCGAGACGUCGGUUGAAACCAUCUGGCUAGAGUCCGGAAGAGGAGAGUGGAAUUCCCGGUGUAGCGGUGAAAUGCGCAGAUAUCAGGAGGAACACCGAUGGCGAAGGCAGCUCGCUGGGACGGUACUGACGCUGAGGCGCGAAAGCGUGGGGAGCGAACAGG
rnacentral:rRNA from 1 species